rnacentral:lncRNA from 1 species
GGCCUGAGACACAUCUGUCACAGAGCACGUGGCAAGCAUCCCUUGGCACUGCCACCCACACACACUGGUUUCCUGUUAAUCCUCCGGACCCCCUCGUGGCUACAUCUGAGCCCGAUGCUGAUUGCCCCUGGGUACGGGCUGAAGCCAGGAAAGACAAAGAGGUUGGUGGUUCUUGGCAGGGCUGCAGAAAACCGAGAGGCCUUCGCUGGAAACUCCAUCAGCUACUGAAUCACUCUCAGCUGUGUCUCAGAGAAUAAAAAGGAGAGAAGAUACUGAAGACUGGAAAAGACCAACAAAAGGCGCUAGAACAAGCAGAAACCGGUUUAGCAAAGAUACCAGCCGGAGGAGGAAAACCAAAAGGAGCUGCGCUAUCACAUCUGUCAUUUUAGCCACUUUACAUGAAACCAGACGUGGUUCUAUGUUUUUCUGAGGAUUUCAACCACUUAUUUAGUCGCAUGUUAAACUUUUUGAGUUUUAUGUGUCUAGGAACAGCCUUGAUUCACUGACGGUGAGAUAAAAGUGAAGGAGAUUCCGAAUUCAACAAAAACAAACCUUAUAAAGUCAUUAAAUUAAUGAUAUUUAUCAUUUUUAAGUCUUAUUAGAUGUAGGGGUGACAGUGGAGCCUUGAAAUUUACAAAGAAUGGAUCCAAGGUAACCCAAACUCUACAGUUAGCAAAGAUUAGACUAAAAACCAACUCUGAGGUGAUAAACAAGCUUCUGCAGAGCUCGAGUCGAUUGAGCAGGUGAUUCAACGACUUGAUCUGGUCUGUCGGAGCAGAGAAACAACUAAAACCUGCUGGAUAGUGGCCCUCGAGGACCAGAAUCCCCCACCUCUAAUCUAAACGGACACUGAGCCAAUCUGUUUGUGAAGGAUUAAAGCUGCAGUGGUAAAUUUGGAAAACAAGUUUGCUGUAAACAUUUUGUUUUCUUGCCUCUUCACUGAUUCACUGCCAGCCUAUUCCUGAUCAGAACAGUCUCUCGCUGCCAGAGUGUUGUAACUGUUACUGGUGAUGUCAGCGCCAAAACUACCAAAACAAAGAGUAGACCAUCUUCUUACAUCAGGAAGAAUCCGCGUGUGAAUGACCUGCAGAGAGCUGGGACCACAGUAACAAAGGUCACCAUCAAUUUCCCUCUGGGAUUAAUAAAGUAUUUUUGAAUUGAAUUGAAUUGAAUCAGUAACACACUACAAUGGCAGGGAAUCAAAUCCUGCGAAGCCAGUGCAUGUCCAGGCCCGUC